UCCCCUUCGGGGGACAGAGUGACAGGUGGUGCAUGGUUGUCGUCAGCUCGUGUCGUGAGAUGUUGGGUUAAGUCCCGCAACGAGCGCAACCCUUGAUCUUAGUUGCCAGCAUUUAGUUGGGCACUCUAAGGUGACUGCCGGUGACAAACCGGAGGAAGGUGGGGAUGACGUCAAAUCAUCAUGCCCCUUAUGACCUGGGCUACACACGUGCUACAAUGGAUGGUACAAAGGGCUGCAAGACCGCGAGGUCAAGCCAAUCCCAUAAAACCAUUCUCAGUUCGGAUUGUANGCUGCAACUCGCCUACAUGAAGCUGGAAUCGCUAGUAAUCGCGGAUCAGCAUGCCGCGGUGAAUACGUUCCCGGGCCUUGUACACACCGCCCGUCACACCACNAGAGUUUGUAACACCC
rnacentral:rRNA from 2 species